rnacentral:rRNA from 1 species
GACGAACGCUGGCGGCGUGCCUAAUACAUGCAAGUCGAGCGGAUGGAAGGAAGCUUGCUUCCUAAAGUCAGCGGCGGACGGGUGAGUAACACGUGGGCAACCUGCCACUAAGAUCGGGAUAACUUCGGGAAACCGGAGCUAAUACCGGAUAUGAUUAUGUCUCACAUGAGAAAUCAUGGAAAGACGGUUUCGGCUGUCACUUAGGGAUGGGCCCGCGGCGCAUUAGCUAGUUAGUGAGGUAACGGCUCACCAAGGCGACGAUGCGUAGCCGACCUGAAAGGGUGAUCGGCCACACUGGGACUGAGACACGGCCCAGACUCCUACGGGAGGCAGCAUUAGGGAAUCUUCUGCAAUGGACGAAAGUCUGACGGAGCAACGCCGCUUGAGUGAAGAAGGUUUUCGGAUCGUAAAACUCUGUUGUUAGGGAAGAACAAGUACCAUAGUAACUGAUGGUACCUUGACGGUACCUAACCAGAAAGCCACGGCUAACUACGUGCCAGCAGCCGCCGUAAAAC